ACAGUCGUGGUUCAGUGGGAGAACUCUUGCCUCCCAUGCAGGAGACCUGGGUUCGAUUCCCAGCCAAUGUA